rnacentral:rRNA from 1 species
UACGUAGGUGGCAAGCGUUGUCCGGAUUUACUGGGCGUAAAGCGUGCGCAGGCGGCGCGUUAAGACAGGUGUGAAAGCCCCGAGCUUAACUUGGGAAUUGCGCUUGUGACUGGCGUGCUGGAGUGUGGCAGAGGGAGGUGGAAUUCCACGUGUAGCAGUGAAAUGCGUAGAGAUGUGGAGGAACACCGAUGGCGAAGGCAGCCUCCUGGGCCAGCACUGACGCUCAUGCACGAAAGCGUGGGGAGCAAACAGG